GGAUGAAUAUUGGACAAUGGGGGCAACCCUGAUCCAGCCAUGCCGCGUGUGUGAAGAAGGCCUUCGGGUUGUAAAGCACUUUAAGCGGGGAGGAAGGCCUGAUGGCUAAUAUCCAUCGGGAUUGACGUUACCCGCAGAAUAAGCACCGGCAAACUUCGUGCCAGCAGCCGCGGUAAUACGAAGGGUGCGAGCGUUAAUCGGAAUUACUGGGCGUAAAGCGCGCGUAGGUGGUUGAGUAAGCGACAUGUGA
rnacentral:rRNA from 1 species